rnacentral:rRNA from 1 species
AACGAACGCUGGCGGCAUGCCUAACACAUGCAAGUCGAACGAGACCUUCGGGUCUGGUGGCGCACGGGUGCGUAACGCGUGGGAACCUGCCCUUAGGUUCGGAAUAACUCCCCGAAAGGGGUGCUAAUACCGGAUAAUGUCUUCGGACCAAAGAUUUAUCGCCUUUGGAUGGGCCCGCGUUGGAUUAGCUAGUUGGUAGGGUAAAAGCCUACCAAGGCGACGAUCCAUAGCUGGUCUGAGAGGAUGAUCAGCCACACUGGGACUGAGACACGGCCCAGACUCCUACGGGAGGCAGCAGUGGGGAAUAUUGGACAAUGGGCGAAAGCCUGAUCCAGCAAUGCCGCGUGAGUGAUGAAGGCCUUAGGGUUGUAAAGCUCUUUUACCCGGGACGAUAAUGACAGUACCGGGAGAAUAAGCUCCGGCUAACUCCGUG